AAUGAACGUUGGCGGCGUGGAUUAGGCAUGCAAGUCGUACGAGAAUCGUAGCAAUACGAGGAAAGUGGCGGAAGGGAGAGGAUUACGUGGGAAUCUACCCUCAGAACUGGGAUAGCGGCGGGAAACUGCCGGUAAUACCAGAUAAUGUCUGUGGACCAAAGGUGUGAUUCCGUCUGGGGAUGAGCCCACGUCCUAUUAGCUAGUUGGCAGGGUAAUGGCCUACCAAGGCAAUGAUGGGUAGCGGGUGUGAGAGCAUGACCCGCCUCACUGGGACUGAGAACUGCCCAGACACCUACGGGUGGCUGCAGUCGAGAAUCUUCGGCAAUGAGCGCAAGCUUGACCGAGCGACGCCGCGUGCGGGAUGAAGGCCUUCGGGUUGUAAACCGCUGUCGUAGGGGAGCAAGAGAUGAGGGUACUCCCUCUGAUUUGAGCGAUCCUAGGAGGAAGGACGGGCUAAGUUCGUGCCAGCCGCUGCGGUAAGAC
rnacentral:rRNA from 1 species